rnacentral:rRNA from 1 species
AGCGAACGCUGGCGGCGUACUUAACACAUGUAAGUCGAACGAGGAGCUUCGGUGUAGCAAUACAUCGGCGCUUCUAGUGGCGUACGGGUGAGUAACACGUGGGCAACCUGCCCUUGAGUCCGGGAUACCCUCUCGAAAGGGAGGCUAAUACUGGAUACGUUCUCCGGAUCGCGAGGUCUGGAGAGGAAAGGUGGCGAAAGCUGCCGCUCUUGGAGGGGCUCGCGGCCUAUCAGCUAGUUGGUGAGGUCACGGCUCACCAAGGCUAUGACGGGUAGCUGGUCUGAGAGGACGACCAGCCACACGGGAACUGAGACACGGUCCCGACUCCUACGGGAGGCAGCAGUGGGGAAUUUUCCGCAAUGGGCGAAAGCCUGACGGAGUGACGCCGCGUGGGGGAUGAAGGCC